ACGGAAUAGAUACCCGGGUAGUCCACGCCGUAAACGAUGGAUACUUGUCGUUGGAGGUAUUGACCCCUUCAGUGACGAAAGCUAAACGCGUUAAAGUAUCCCGCCUGGGGAGUACGGUCGCAAGAUUAAAACUCAAAGAAAUUGACGGGGGCCCGCACAAGCGGUGGAUCAUGUGGUUUAAUUCGAUGCAACGCGAAGAACCUUACCUACUUUUGUACAUGUACUGGAAGUGCUCCUAGAAAUAAGGGCAGCCCGCAAGGGCCGGUACACAGGUGCUGCAUGGCUGUCGUCAGCUCGUGUCGUGAGAUGUUGGGUUAAGUCCCGCAACGAGCGCAACCCUUGCCUUUAGUUGCCAGCAUUUAGUUGGGCACUCUAAAGGGACUGCCGACGUUAAGUCGGAGGAAGGUGGGGAUGACGUCAAGUCCUCAUGGCCCUUAUAAGUAGGGCUACACACGUGAUACAAUGGUAACUACAAAGAGCAGCAAAACGCGCGAGCUGAAGCUAAUCUCGUAAAAAGUUAUCUAAGUUAGGAUUGGAGUCUGCAACUCGACUCC
rnacentral:rRNA from 1 species